GACGAACGCUGGCGGCGUGCUUAACACAUGCAAGUCGAACGAAGAGCGACGGAAGCUUGCUUCUAUCAAUCUUAGUGGCGAACGGGUGAGUAACGCGUAAUCAACCUGCCCUUCAGAGGGGGACAACAGUUGGAAACGACUGCUAAUACCGCAUACGAUCUAACCUCGGCAUCGAGGAUAGAUGAAAGGUGGCCUCUACAUGUAAGCUAUCACUGAAGGAGGGGAUUGCGUCUGAUUAGCUAGUUGGAGGGGUAACGGCCCACCAAGGCGAUGAUCAGUAGCCGGUCUGAGAGGAUGAACGGCCACAUUGGGACUGAGACACGGCCCAGACUCCUACGGGAGGCAGCAGUGGGGAAUCUUCCGCAAUGGACGAAAGUCUGACGGAGCAACGCCGCGUGAGUGAUGACGGCCUUCGGGUUGUAAAGCUCUGUUAAUCGGGACGAAAGGCCUUCUUGCGAAUAGUGAGAAGGAU
rnacentral:rRNA from 1 species